rnacentral:rRNA from 1 species
CAUAACCUUUAGCUAAACCAGUAUUAAAGGCAACGCCUGCCCAGUGAAUAAUUAAACGGCCGCGGUACCCUAACCGUGCAAAGGUAGCGUAAUCAUUUGUCUAUUAAUUGUAGACCCGUAUGAAAGGCAUAAUGAGGGUUUAACUGUCUCUUUUAGUAUAUCAAUUAAACUGAUCUCCUAGUCCAAAAGCUAGGAUACCAACAUAAGACCAGAAGACCCUGUGAAACUUUAACUAAAAUAUUAAAGCCUAUAAUAACUACUUUAGGUUGGGGCGACCUUGGAAAAUAAAAGAACUUCCACACACAUAUUAUAUAAUAAUAUAUAACCGGCCAACAAGCCUAUAACGACCCAGCACAGCUGAUAAUUGAACCAAGCUACUCCAGGGAUAACAGCGCUAUCUUCUUCAAGAGCCCAUAUCAAAAAGAAGGUUUACGACCUCGAUGUUGGAUCAGGACAUCCUAAUGGUGCAGCCGCUAUUAAGGGUUCGUUUGUUCAACGAUUAAUAGUCCUACGUGAUC